rnacentral:antisense_RNA from 1 species
AGUGUGUGCCUUACUAUGUGUGAGGAGGUGCUGUUUUGCUUUCAGUGUGUAAAUAUCAUGUCUUGAUGGAGAAACUGCAGCAGAGAGGCCCUGCUGCCCCAGCACAUCUGUCACAGCCCACACAACACCUCCAGAGUGAGAGCAACAAACUCAACGAACUGCAAAGUUUUCUGUACCACCUGGGUGCAAGCAGGAAUGAAGAAACUGUGGCCCAGAGAGGUGAAACAACCCAGUCGAUGUCACGUAGCUAAGAUGACAGCUGUUGGCCUGUACCUCGGCCCUCAAGUUUCCCAUGCAAUGUGCUUCCUACUAUUCAUUGUUGCCCCGUCUCUAGGUUGUUAUCAAACGGACCCUGCUAGACUCUGAAUUUCUUCCUGCAAAGAGGACAGUCCAGGUCUGCUGAUGGGUUUCUAACACAGGAAACUCAGGGGUUCUAAUACUUCCUCUUGACCCAGUAACUGACAAGCCCUGAGCCUCAGGAUUCCUGGCCCUGUCCCCUCUCACCUCCUCUGACAAACCAUGGUACUAGAAGAAAAUUACAAGAGAAAAUAUGACACAAAUUGUGAAAGCGGUAUACAGCAGCUCAGCUUUGGGAAACAUGAGUCCUGUCUGCUUAUGGAUGUAUUGAUUCAUGGGUAUUACACUUGUCUCCCAAGUUGCUUGCUGAUGCUUUCAAGGUCAGGUAAUAACAUUCUCCAAGGAACUAAGCAGAGUGGCUGGCCUCAUUUCUCCCCUGACCUGCAGGCUGGCUGGCUGGUUGACUUGCUUCUGGGAAAUGGCAGCCUUUUGCUCCCUGUGCCCCUCCCCGACCAGGCAGCUCACUCCCUUUGUAGUAGCCUCAUG